rnacentral:rRNA from 1 species
GAUCAUGGCUCAGGAUGAACGCUAGCGACAGGCUUAACACAUGCAAGUCGAGGGGCAGCACAGGUAGCAAUACCGGGUGGCGACCGGCGCAUGGGUGAGUAACGCGUAUGCAACUUGCCUAUCAGAGGGGGAUAACCCGGCGAAAGUCGGACUAAUACCGCAUGAAGCAGGGGCCCCGCAUGGGGAUAUUUGCUAAAGAUUCAUCACUGAUAGAUAGGCAUGCGUU